CUGAAAUCAAAGUUAUAAGAACAUAAGAUAUCUUUUUUAAGGUUCUAGGGAUGGUCUAUGAUUAUGGUAUUUUUUUUUUAUUAGACAUAUUAUAUCACUGGAUUGAUCAAAAUGCAAGUUUUGCAGUUCAUAAAAAUUUUGUCUAACUUCCUUACAUUGCUGACUUUUAACAAGUACAACCAACUACUGUUUGACAUGUUUAGUGUAUAGAAUAAAAUUGACUUUGAUAACAAUGAAAGAAAUGAAAGAUGUUUAUAAUUUAAUACUCUUAAUAAUAGUAAAUUAACUUACCAGUUAAUGUUUUGGUAAAUAUUUCUUUUGUGCAUUUCAAGGAAGCAGAAUCUACAGUGAUGCCAUUAAAUCUAUCUUUU